AGAGUUUGAUCAUGGCUCAGAACGUACGCUGGCGGCACGCCUUAUACAUGCAAGUCGAACGCAGUAGCAAUACUGAGUGGCAAACGGGUGAGUAUAAUGUGGGUAUCUGCCUUUUGGUUUGGAAUAACAUGAGGAAACUUGUGCUAAUACCGGAUAAGCCUUCACAGGGAAAGUUUUAUACGCCGAAAGAUGAGCCCGCACUUGAUUAGUUUGUUGGUGAGGUAAUGGCUCACCAAGACAAUUAUCAAUAGCUGGUCUGAGAGGACGAUCAGCCACAUUGGGACUGAGACACGGCCCAGACUCCUACGGGAGGCAGCAGUAAGGAAUCUUGCACAAUGGGGGAAACCCUGAUGCAGCGAUGCCGCGUGAGUGAAGAAGGCCCUUGGGUUGUAAAACUCUUUCGUCGGGGAAGAAAAUGACUGUACCCGAAUAAGAAGGUCCGGCUAACUUCGUGCCAGCAGCCGCGGUAAUACGAAGGGACCUAGCGUAGUUCGGAAUUACUGGGCUUAAAGAGCUCGUAGGUGGUUAAAAAAGUUGAUGGUGAAAUCCCAAGGCUCAACCUUGGAACUGCCAUCAAAACUUUUUAGCUAGAGUGUGAUAGAGGAAAGUGGAAUUUCUAGUGUAGAGGUGAAAUUCGUAGAUAUUAGAAAGAACACCAAAUGCGAAGGCAACUUUCUGGGUCACUACUGACACUGAGGAGCGAAAGCAUGGGUAGCG
rnacentral:rRNA from 1 species